rnacentral:rRNA from 1 species
GAUGAACGCUGGCGGCGUGCCUAAUACAUGCCAGUCGAGCGAACAGAUGAGGAGCUUGCUCCUCUGACGUUAGCGGCGGACGGGUGAGUAACACGUGGAUAACCUACCUAUAAGACUGGGAUAACUUCGGGAAACCGGAGCUAAUACCGGAUAAUAUAUUGAACCGCAUGGUUCAAUAGUGAAAGACGGUUUUGCUGUCACUUAUAGAUGGAUCCGCGCCGCAUUAGCUAGUUGGUAAGGUAACGGCUUACCAAGGCAACGAUGCGUAGCCGACCUGAGAGGGUGAUCGGCCACACUGGAACUGAGACACGGUCCAGACUCCUACGGGAGGCAGCAGUAGGGAAUCUUCCGCAAUGGGCGAAAGCCUUACGGAGCAACGCCGCGUGAGUGAUGAAGGUCUUCGGAUCGUAAAACUCUGUUAUUAGGGAAGAACAAAUGUGUAAGUAACUAUGCACGUCUUGACGGUACCUAAUCAGAAAGCCACGGCUAACUACGUG